rnacentral:misc_RNA from 1 species
AAGUCGUAACAAGGUCUCCGUAGGUGAACCUGCGGAGGGAUCAUUAACACAACGCAUGGUGGGUGCCAGUGGCCGUCAAACAGCUGCUGCUGCCCUGCCUUGUGGUUUCCAUACCUAUACACCCCUUCGUGAACUACUGUGCCUCUGUGCUGUUUUGCUUUCUGGCCUUCACUGGCCAAGAGAGUGGGCAGUGCCCCUUUUUUGUACCCCAAACCCUUUCCACCUCCUUUAUUGGAACUUGUUUUAGUACUCUGCUCUACUGCUGUGAUGGCGGUGGUGUCAGUGUGUUUACAACAACUAUACAAAAAGCACAACUCUUAGCAACGGAUAUCUUGGUUCUC